UCCGGCUUAUCACCGGCAGUUUUCUCAGAGUGCCCAGCUUGACCUGAUGGCAACAGAGAAUGAGGGUUGCGCUCGUUGCGGGACUUAACCCAACAUCUCACGACACGAGCUGACGACAGCCAUGCAGCACCUGUGUUCUCCCCACCCGAAGUGAAGGGAAUCGUCUCUGAUUCCCAAAGGAGACAUGUCAAACCCUGGUAAGGUUCUUCGCGUUGCCUCGAAUUAAACCACAUGUUCCACCGCUUGUGCGGGUCCCCGUCAAUUUCUUUGAGUUUUAAUCUUGCGACCGUACUCCCCAGGCGGGGUGCUUAACGCGUUAGCUGCGCUACUGAGAGGUAACCUCCCAACAGCUAGCACCCAUCGUUUACAGCGUGGACUAC
rnacentral:misc_RNA from 1 species